rnacentral:rRNA from 1 species
CCUACGGGUGGCAGCAGUGAGGAAUAUUGGUCAAUGGACGAGAGUCUGAACCAGCCAAGUAGCGUGAAGGAUGAAUGCCCUAUGGGUUGUAAAAUUCUUUUUUAAGGGUAUAAAACGAGGCACGUGUGCCCUUUUGCAUGUCCUGUAUGAAUAAGGACAGGCUAACUUCGUGCCAGCAUCCGCGAUAAUACGGCGGAUCCGAUUGUUAUCCGGAUUGAUUGGGUUUAAAGGGACCGUAGAUGGGUUGUUAAGUCAGUUGUGAAAGUUUGCGGCUCAACCGUAAAAUUGCAAUUGAUACUGGCAGUCUUGAGUACAGUUGAGGUAGGCGGAAUUCGUGGUGUAGCGGUGAAAUGCUUAGAUAUCACGAAGAACUCCGAUUGCGAAGGCAGCUUACUAAACUGCCACUGACAUUGAUGCUCGAAAGUGUGGGUAUCAAACAGGAUUAGAUACCCCUGUAGUC